rnacentral:rRNA from 1 species
UGCCAGACUCCUACGGGAGGCAGCAGUGGGGAAUAUUGCACAAUGGGGGAAACCCUGAUGCAGCGACGCCGCGUGGGUGAGGAAGUAUUUCGGUAUGUAAAGCUCUAUCAGCAGGGAAGAAAAUGACGGUACCUGACUAAGAAGCCCCGGCUAACUACGUGCCAGCAGCCGCGGUAAUACGUAGGGGGCAAGCGUUAUCCGGAUUUACUGGGUGUAAAGGGAGCGUAGACGGCAGUGCAAGUCCGGAGUGAAAGCCCGGGGCUCAACCCUGGGACUGCUCUGGAAACUGUAAAGCUGGAGUGCGGGAGGGGCAGGCGGAAUUCCAGGUGUAGGAGUGAAAUCCGUAGAUAUCUGGAGGAACAUCAGUGGCGAAGGCGACUAUCUGGCACAUAACUGACGCUGAGGAGCGAAAGCGUGGGUAGCAAACAGGAUUAGAUACCCUGGUAA